CCGGUAUGCAAUCACAAGACCUUCCUGCCAAAUUAAAAAACUGUUUUUCUAAAUACUAAAAUUGUGGUCACCCAAAUCAAUACAUCAACCACCAUCCAAUGUCCGGAGUUUUGGGUAGUGUAGAUUGUCAGCUGCUUUGUUUGAGUCUCAUUAGUCUAAAGUUAACAGCAGAUAUCAGUGCAACAGAUACUGAAGGCUACAGAUGCAUUAAAAAACAAGAACAAACCUUGGGCAGGCCAGAAGUUCUAAGUAUGGAAGAAAUCAUGUUGGGAGUGUCAAUUCCGAAAGGACCCUACAAUGCGCGAUCUAAAUUUAUUUGAGACACCAAUGCAGACUCCGAACAUCGGCUGGAAUUUUUUUUUUAGGUUGUUGAUAAAUAAGAAAUCCUACAUUUCAUCUCACUUCCUUAGUUUUCCUGAAUUUUGAUGAAACCAAGUUUAAGAACCCUACCAAAAGAAGUGUUUGAAGAGUUAAAACCUAAGCCUAAAACAAUACUUUUAUAACUAAGUUCCAACUAAAAGCCCCAAAGACAAGCUUUUGGUGAAAGAGCAGAAAAAAGGUCACUUUUUGGAGUGUUUAGAAGAAGACUUUUUCCUUGGGAUGCAUUUUCCUUUUACAGCCUUCAAUUCCUCCUCUUCUUCUUCUUCUGUUGCUACUUCUCUUAGCCCUGCCUUUGAGCUCCUACAUAUUGAAGUACUUUAAAUACACAUUCAAAUAUUAAAGCCUGAUGACAAGUCUGUCUAUUCUUACUUUUCUUCAACUUAGACAGACCUUUUUCACCUAAAAUAAGAAAGUUGAGACAAACUUUUACCAAUGUAAUAACAAGUUUUUAAAACUAUUCUACUAAAAUGAAUGACCUUACAUUGACAAAAUAGUAAUCCAUCAACUCCACUUUAUGUGGACAAUUACUAUUUGCAUAGUCAUAGGACUUUUUAUCUUUUCCUUGCCAUUUUUCUUAAUAUAGUUUAACUAUUUUGAAUUAUUAAUUAGUGUGACUGAUAUGUUAUUUAUGUCAUUUCUAAAUAUAUGAUGAUAACCGAGUAUACUAACCAUGGAGACUAAUGAUCCAUCUGCAAGUGGCAGGAAGAGGGAUAGCGGUGAUCUUAGUUACAACUUCAGAUACAAGAAACAAUCUUUUUCAAUUUACUCACAUUGCAAAGCAGCUUAUUAAAUAAAAGGUUUAUAAAACUGUGACAACUCGAAACUAUCAAAAGUUGCUUAACUUCUUCUACUCAUUUGUUUAAAGAUAAAUUUUUUCCCUAACAAAUUAAGAACAGUACUAAAAUCAUUUAAGAAGACAAAAAGCAUGAAUUCAUGUUAACACUGAAAAUAAUAACCUAGAAUGCCACUGGUCCACAUCAUAAUUGUCCGAUGAUACUAUGUCCGGAGAAUUUUGAUGUGUGGAUGCUGAAAAAGCCUAUGGUCUCUCAAAAGAUUAAAAAGAUUGCUGAAUUUCGAAGUGAUCUUUUCCCUGUCUCUCCAUCCAUAAGCUUCCAACGCUAGGGGUUCCUUUCUCUUGGUCGGCCUCCCUUGGAGUGGAAGGCUGCCGAGCGUUAUGGGACGUGGGAAAAAUCUUCUUCUGUUUCUGAUUACUCUGAAAAAACGAAGCUUUGGUUGACGCAAUCCUAUGUGACCCACCUCUUUAGUACUACAUGAUGAACUUAAUUUCUUUUCUGCAGCAAAGCUUCUUAGAAGAGUUGGAGAAGCCUGUUGCACUGUUGGCCUUUGAAGAUGUAUCCAACUGCCCUAUUGGAGAGCUUCUGGAUGUAUCACAGCGGCAAAAGACCGCUAGUAGCUUCAUGGUAUGAAAUGUUAUUUUUUUAUGAUUAAUCUUUGAUUAAAAGCUUCCAAAGCCUUUUGUAGAUGUUAAUAUGGGCACAAAAUCAGCUUGGUGAAAAAGCCAUGUAUCCGGGCAUAAAAGAUUUAUCGACUGCUAAACUGGAAGAUCCUCCUGUUAUAAGGAUAACCAAAACUUGACCAACUGCUUGAAGAUGAUGUAUCGUUCUUCUUUUUGACCUAUAGUUACUUUCAUUUUUAAUUAAAUUAUGGAUUCUUAGAUUAAUGUUGUGUUUGUUUAUCGAUCACAAUGUACAGUGAACUUGUUUAUCAAAAUAAACAAAGAAUUCAACUUCCAAAUAUCACAAUCUCGACCAAAAAACAAAAAUGAAAUCCCUCAAAUCCUUGCAUAACAAAAACCCUCAAAUCACUUCACUUGAUUUUAUACAAAUUGAUUUGUACCCAGUAUCUUAAACAUUAACCAUUUUACCUAUUUUAUCCAAGAAAAAAAUAUCCCACAAAACGCACCUACAUUUUCCUCGCAUACACAAAUUUAUGCAAGAAACCCCAUAACCAACAUACAAACAAGUGAAUCAUCAAACCAAUAAUCAAAAAAAUACACAAAAACAAGAUAAAACCCAGUACUCAAAUUAUUUUCCUACAGUAAAAAAAAACAGAGAUAAAAAACAGAGAAAGACUCACAAGUUUGGAGGAAUUAGAAAUCGAGUUGCGAGCAGAGAUAGCUGUAUGAUUCGAGAUCUGUCAGAUUAUGGAAGCUCCAACAUUCAAUUCUCUGAUCUGAUUAUUCUCCAACCCCGAUGAAUUGCUUGUCUCUUUACCACCGCACUCGAAACAGAGGAAUACCUAUUCUGGGUCGUCAUCAUAUCCUCCUUGUAAUGUAAAACGAUCGAAAAAUUAAACCCUUAUCAACUCUUCUUCAAGAAAACGAAGAAGAAGCCGUUACUCUGUAAUUCAAAGAGGGCGAUUUGAAUUUGAUUUGAUGUAGGUGUUCGUUAGGAGCGGAUAAGGGUUGGGCCCACUAAAUAAAAUCACCAAUAAGAUGAAGACACGUAGGUAAUGUGUAUUGUGGGUUUAGUAAUUUUCUUGUAAAGGAA
rnacentral:lncRNA from 1 species